AGGUCAGCGGCGGACGGGUGAGUAACACGUGGGUAACCUGCCUGUAAGACUGGGAUAACUCCGGGAAACCGGGGCUAAUACCGGAUGCUUGAUUGAACCGCAUGGUUCAAUCAUAAAAGGUGGCUUUCAGCUACCACUUACAGAUGGACCCGCGGCGCAUUAGCUAGUUGGUGAGGUAACGGCUCACCAAGGCGACGAUGCGUAGCCGACCUGAGAGGGUGAUCGGCCACACUGGGACUGAGACACGGCCCAGACUCCUACGGGAGGCAGCAGUAGGGAAUCCUUCCGCAAUGGACGAAAGUCUGACGGAGCAACGCCGCGUGAGUGAUGAAGGUUUUCGGAUCGUAAAACUUCUGUUGUUAGGGAAGAACAAGUACCGUUCGAAUAGGGCGGCACCUUGACGGUACCUAACCAGAAAGCCACGGCUAACUACGUGCCAGCAGCCGCGGUAAUACCGUAGGUGGCAAGCGUUGUCCGGAAUUAUUGGGCGUAAAGCGCGCGCAGGCGGUUUCUUAAGUCUGAUGUGAAAGCCCCCGGCUCAACCGGGGAGGGUCAUUGGAAACUGGGGAACUUGAGUGCAGAAGAGGAGAGUGGAAUUCCACGUGUAGCGGUGAAAUGCGUAGAGAUGUGGAGGACACCAGUGGCGAAGG
rnacentral:rRNA from 1 species